rnacentral:tRNA from 1 species
GGAGAGAUGCGAGAGCGGUUGAAUCGGGCGGUCUCGAAAACCGUUGUCCGGCUUGCCGGACCGAGGGUUCGAAUCCAUCUCUCUCCG